rnacentral:rRNA from 1 species
GCUAAGGUAGCAUAAUCAUUUGUUAUUUAAUUGGUAACUGGAAUGAAAGGUUAAACUAGCUUAUUAAGUUUGUGGGACUAAAUAGGAGUUUAAAGUUAAGGUAAGAAUGCUUUAAUUUUUUAGGGGACGAUAAGACCCUAGAAGCUUAACGAGUAGCUGUUUUGUUUUAUAAACUUGUUCGUUUUACUGGGGCGGUAAAAAUAAUUAAGCUAUUUUUUAUUUAAAGGAUCCUUAAAAUAAAGAAAAAAUGGAGAAGUUACUCUAGGGAUAA